CAGACAAAACCCAAGACAAAGAGACAUGGAUGAUGGAAUGGCGAAGAUCAAGAGGAUGAUGUUGGAGAUCUUCAACAGAAACUACUCUAAUGAAUCAGAGAUCAACAACAACAGAUAUUACAGCAAACAACAACAGUAGCCUCUACAGAUCAGAGAUGAAAAA